AAUAAGUGUUUAAAACAACAAAGUAUAAGCGGAAGUCAAAUAAACAUGAACUACACAACCCCAAAUAUCUGGUGUCACGAGUCUAGAGCCUCUACUACAUAACUGACUGUCUGAUACAACGAAAGUCUAGAAAAAUGCAGAAAUGAACAAGAUAAGAAGGAGAGAAAACAAGGCUGCGGACGCCAUGCAGCUACCUUGAAAUCUCCGGCAACCUCUGGAUCAGUUGAGGACCCUCAUUCUGCCACUCGGGCACCUGGAUCUGCACACAAGGUCCAGGGAGUAACGUGAAUACGCCAACUCAAUAAGUAACUAAAGUAAAUAAGGUCUGAAAGCAGUGACGAGCAGUUAAAAAUCAUAUAACUGAAUAAACAACAGGAUAACAAAUCCAUUUCACAGUUUAAAACCAGUUUCGUCGUAAAAUUAUCAACUUCAGUUUAAACACUUGGAAUCAUAUACUUAGAAAUUUUUCCAACAUAGGCUUAUUUAAAAAGAAGAGUGAAAUCAUUGAAAACAUCCUAACUGGGCCCCUCGGGCAAUGUAUCACUUAGAACAUGGCCUCUCGGGAAGCCUUUCAGUCACGCAUGACUCACUCUCGUCACUCAGUACUCACUCUCAGUACUCAGGCUCAUUAAUAUCUCAUAAUAAUAGAAAUCAUAGUAACCGCUGCGGCGUGCAGCCCGAUCCGUAAUUUAUAGUCGACUACGCUCACUGGGGGUAUACAGACUCCGGAGGGGCUCCUACAGCCCAAUCGUCAUAUCGAUGCAGCGCGUAGCCUGAUCCAAUAUAUAUAUAUAUAUCGAUAUGGCGUGCAACCCGAUCCAUAUAAGUAUUGUUGUGGCCUGCAGCCCGAUCCAUAAUAUAUACACAUAAUAUUGUUGCGGCGUGUAACCCGAUCUAUAAUAUAAAUAUAUAAACCUCACCAUAAGGUCCUCGACCUCCCUCAGUCAUUAACCUUACUCUACUCAGGCAUAAUAGUGGAAAUUAGGGAACUCUGCCCAAACAGUUUUCACAUUUUUGAAAAGUAGAGGGAUAAAAACCAGGUUUUAACAUUAAACAGGUAAAACAUGACUGAGGAUAUGCUUUCAAACAGAUAGAGUGAGCAAAACAGUAAAAAAUGCCCCUAAGAGUCUCAAUAGGUCGGCACAAAGCCCCAAACAUGGCAUACAACCCAUAAUAUAGUAUUAAUCUCCACUAUAUGUGAUAUCAUAAGAUUUCAAAUCAAAUACGCGGCUUAAUAGUUGCUACGGGAUGGACCAAGUCACAAUCCCUACCGGUGCACGCCCACACGCUUGUCACCUAGCAUGUGUGUCACCGUAUUUAUCAAAACAAGUCAAAUACCAGGAUUUUGUAUCCUCAGUUCUAGAUUUACAAUGGUUACUUACCUCAAACCGGUGAAAAUACU
rnacentral:lncRNA from 1 species